rnacentral:misc_RNA from 1 species
UCCGGUUUGUCACCGGCAGUCUCCUUAUAGUCCCCGACCGGAUCGCUGGCAAAUAAGGAUAAGGGUUGCGCUCGUUACGGGACUUAACCCAACAUCUCACAACACGAGCUGACGACAGCCAUGCAGCACCUGUCACUGCGCUCCCGAAGGCACCCGGCCAUCUCUGGCCAGUUCGCAGGAUUUCAAGAGUAGGUAAGGUUCUUCGCGUUGCGUCGAAUUAAACCACAUGCUCCACCGCUUGUGCGGGCCCCCGUCAAUUCAUUUGAGUUUUAACCUUGCGGCCAUACUCCCCAGGCGGUCGACUUAUCGCGUUAACUUCACCACCAAGUCCAUAAAGGCCCCAACGGUUAGUCGACAUCGUUUACAGCGUGGACUAC